GGGAGGAGCCUUGGCUUGAGUGGCGUAUCCACUCGGCCAAUCAGAGCGCGGAAGAGCUCUGCACCAUUUCUCCCACUCGCCCAUAUAAUCGGAGGCGAGCGGUGAGGAAGGCCGAAUCUCAGUGGAACGAAUGGACAACUGACUUGACCAAUGGAAGCCUUUCCCCUCCCACUGCGUUGGGCGGAGUAACAAGUGGAAGCGGUGUGUUUCGUUAGGAAGCCGUUAGGUCCCUGUGGCCGCGCACUGCUCUCCGCCGCCCGCUGCUGUCUGCGCCUCACAGCGCCCCUUCGCAGCCUGCCAGAGCUCUCGCUGCCUUCUCCAGGCUUCGUUUGGAUCCCAGCUGUGCUACUCAAGGAGUGGGUUUUGUAGCCCUGUGAGCGGCACUUGUGACCAGAUCUGUAACGUUAUUCUCUUCCAAUGAUUUCUCUCUGAGCUUCUGCGCAGGGCGAGCAAGAGAAAUAAAUGUAGUAAAAAUGAGACAACAUGCACGUUAGGUCAGAAAUAAUAUUUAUUGAGCCAUACACUGGUAGUAGCAGUCACAAAAUCAAAGUGCCGGCUGUAGGCAAAAUAACCAGCAUCAACUGCCCGUGUUAGCACUGCGCUGUGCAGAAGCGUCUGCGGUGGCAAUUGCUCGUGUGGUGUUUAGAUGCUGCCUUUGCCUCGAGCUCUGUCUAUACUAACAGCAUUGAGGAUGAAAUGAUGGUAGAAGAGGGAGUGUGAGAGAAGGACUGACUCAAAGAGCCAGCCGUUCGUUCGUCAGUACUGGACCGUUUCCUCAUCGUUUGGGUUCGUUGUAUUGCUAGCAGAAGUAAUCCUCUCAACCACCAUUUCCCAAAUCCCGCUGUAACUGAGGGAUAUUUGCAUAACUAUUGCAGACAUCAGGCCAGUCAUACUCUGCAGGAGAGAAUGAAUUCCCGGCGCCGGGUAACCAUUCCCUGGAGGCAUUCAAGGCCAGGCUGGAUGUGGCUCUGGGCAGCCUGGCCUGGUGGUUGGCGACCCUGCACAUAGCAGGGGGGCUGAAACUCGAUGAUCAUUGUGGUCGUUUUCAACCCAGGCCAUUCUAUGGUUCCAUGAUUUAGAGCUACCAGGUCCAGAAUCAUUCCCCUUGGUACCAGGCGUUACACUGUCACAGAAAAUUUAUAUACAAAAACAAAGCUUUUAAAAUAAAAUUGAGAACAUAAAACAUUGUCUUCUGUGGCGCUUUCUCAUCUUGGCGUGCUAAUAGAACAUGUGCUUAACACAGGAUGGUUGGACAUCCCCUGGCCUGUGUGCUGCCUGUGGAACAGAACAGGCCCAAGAGCCUGACAGGCAGUUUAGGGACUGCUGACAUACUGGGAGGCCAGGAGGUGAGAUGAUUGAUUAGAAGCACAUGUGCCUAUCUUGGCUGUCCAUUUACACCACUUGUAAGCAAUGAGACUUAAGUGAAGAGUUGUUAGCCCCUGACACUGAAUUAUUUUGUGGUUUCAGCUCUCCUGUCCCUGUUUGCAGAUUCUAUCUGUGUGAGCUGAAACUGUGUUCCUGCCACAGUGGUCACCAAGACUAAAUUAAUCAGAGGCAUCUCAAUUUCAAAAGGGCUCAGGGGAAAAACAAAACAAAACACCCUUUGUUAAUGAGCUAAGGCUUAGGCUGCAUCAGAGCUGAUUUCAUGAAGACUGAAAUCAUAUGAAAAGUGUAAAUGCUGCCCUCUUUAAAAAGUGGAGGUGUUUUCCAAAGCUGUUUGUGAAAGGAAAGAAAAGUGCCUUUCUCUUCUCUCAGUCCAUAGCUGACUUUGUUGCUUUAAAAAUGAUUACCAGCUUUCUCACAUGUGAGACUGAGUCUGAGCCACAAAAUAUGCACAAGAAGCCUAUUUUAGUGUUCUUUUUGCUAGAUCCUAUAUGUUCUUCAUAUAAUGACAGCUAUACUCUUCCAUGUUUUCAUAGCAGUUCUCUCAACUACUUUGUUUAUUGCUUCACCAGGACCUAAGGGCUCACUGGAGGUCAGCAUGCCAUAGAGGGCAGUCCCUGUGGUGUGGCAUUUGCAGCCUGAACAGCGUUAAGGGCUGGAAUAAGGUAUCAGUGAGGCAGCUGCAUGGAGGAGGGCCUUGCCUCUCUUCCCUGUACUUCGGCCUACGCGGCCUUCUCAGCCUGUGAGUGAUCUGUCUGCCUUCAGUGACCACGGCUGAUUUUAAGAAAUGUAUUUUACAAACAUGUUUUUCCCAUACACAGCGCUGCAAUCUGGCAAGAAUAUCUUUUUCACUUAACAGGUCUGAGGAAGAUGGUCAUCUGUAAUGCCCACUAAAGAGAUAAUUCAUUUCAGUAUCGUAGAAUCAUAGAACCAUAGAAUGGCCUGGGUUGAAAAGGACCACAAUGAUCAUCGAG
ensembl:lncRNA